CUGGCGGCGUGCUUAACACAUGCAAGUCGAACGGAAAGGCCCUGCUUUUGUGGGGUGCUCGAGUGGCGAACGGGUGAGUAACACGUGAGUAACCUGCCCUUGACUUUGGGAUAACUUCAGGAAACUGGGGCUAAUACCGGAUAGGAGCUCCUGCUGCAUGGUGGGGGUUGGAAAGUUUCGGCGGUUGGGGAUGGACUCGCGGCUUAUCAGCUUGUUGGUGGGGUAGUGGCUUACCAAGGCUUUGACGGGUAGCCGGCCUGAGAGGGUGACCGGCCACAUUGGGACUGAGAUACGGCCCAGACUCCUACGGGAGGCAGCAGUGGGGAAUAUUGCACAAUGGGCGGAAGCCUGAUGCAGCAACGCCGCGUGCGGGAUGACGGCCUUCGGGUUGUAAACCGCUUUCGCCUGUGACGAAGCGUGAGUGACGGUAAUGGGUAAAGAAGCACCGGCUAACUACGUGCCAGCAGCCGCGGUGAUACGUAGGGUGCGAGCGUUGUCCGGAUUUAUUGGGCGUAAAGGGCUCGUAGGUGGUUGAUCGCGUCGGAAGUGUAAUCUUGGGGCUUAACCCUGAGCGUGCUUUCGAUACGGGUUGACUUGAGGAAGGUAGGGGAGAAUGGAAUUCCUGGUGGAGCGGUGGAAUGCGCAGAUAUCAGGAGGAACACCAGUGGCGAAGGCGGUUCUCUGGGCCUUUCCUGACGCUGAGGAGCGAAAGCGUGGGGAGCGAACAGGCU
rnacentral:rRNA from 1 species